UACGUAGGGUGCAAGCGUUGUCCGGAAUUAUUGGGCGUAAAGAGCUUGUAGGCGGUCUGUCGCGUCUGCUGUGAAAAUCCGGGGCUCAACCCCGGACUUGCAGUGGGUACGGGCAGACUAGAGUGUGGUAGGGGAGACUGGAAUUCCUGGUGUAGCGGUGAAAUGCGCAGAUAUCAGGAGGAACACCGGUGGCGCAGGCGGGUCUCUGGGCCAUAACUGACGCUGAGGAGCGAAAGCGUGGGGAGCGAACAGG
rnacentral:rRNA from 1 species